GGAUCGGUAGCUCAGUUGGUAGAGCGGCGGGUUGAAGACCCGCGCGGCGGCAGUUCGAUUCUGUCCCGAUCCGCCA
rnacentral:tRNA from 1 species